rnacentral:lncRNA from 1 species
CCGCCUGCUUAUGCUGUCUCAGACUACAAGAUGGUGAGUCGCACUCGCGCCCCCACACGGCGUGCAACCGCUGUAUCCGAAGACAAGAUGGUGAGCCGCGCUCGCUCCUCCCCCCUCUGCUACUAGUGAUUUGAAGUUAACUGGUGCCUAAUGAGCUGGAGUUAUUGACAAUCUUUAAUCUAGUCAUGUGAAUUAGUACUAGUGCUUAAUGAACUACCUGAUGUGUAUGUGCAAGAAUUACGUGCUGGGUAUAUGUCCUUGGACAUUCUAAUCGUUGCGAUCUCAUCUGGCAGAUGGACAGGAAUGAGAUGGCGCUGGUGGUUCGCAGGCGCAAGCCCGGGAGACCCCAGGAGAAAAGCCCGCCCCCAGCAGCCACCAGAGAGGAGCUGGAAUCCCGGGCUUGCGCUCCCGGCGCCAGGGGCCCCACGUACUCACGCUGUCUCGCACUCGCGCCCCCACCCGGCAUGCAAACGUUGUCUCCGACGACAAGAUGGUGAGCCGUGAUCGCGCCCCCACCCUGCAUGCAAACCGUGUCUCCGAUGACAAGAUGGUGAGCCGCAGUCGCUUCCCCCUCUCCUACUAGUGAUUUGAAGUUAACCGGUGCCUAAUGAUUUGAAAUUACUGACAAUCUUUAAUCCAGUCAUGUGAAUUGUACUAGUGCUUACUGAAUUACCUGAUGUGUAUGUGCAUGAACUACGUGGUGUGUACAUGUCCUUGGAUUUUCUAAUCGCUGCGGUCUCAUCUGGCAGAUGGACAAGAACGAGAUGGUGCCGGUCCAGGGGGUGCCGCGCAUGCGGGGGAGCAUCGCGUCGUCAAGUGCGGUUGGUAAGUAUACUUUAUGCUGCUUUUUUUUGUCAACAUCGUCUCCAUGCAGGCUACACUGGGAAAGAAGCUGCUUAACUCUUGUGCAUGCUGGUUUUUUUUCAUCACUAGUAUACUGGUAUUGGACUGGAGCUUGAUAGCUCUGUCCAUGCUGGGCCUUUUUGUCAUCAUUAGUAUUGUUAUAUAUUAGCUGAAGCUGCACAUGUUUUCUUUCCAUUGACGUUGGUGCGGGCGGUGCUACGCGUCAGUCGGCCGAUGGAUGGACGCCUUACUCACCUGAUUUUAAUCAAGUCCCACCUAGGUGUAAUUUGUUUUGUCACUAGCUGUGUAUACAUAGGCGAGCUCCAGCACUGCAUUGCAGCGUGGAAAACAUAUGAACUGUAAUAAGAAACAUGCAGUGGCUAGAAACAUCUCCACAUAUUUUUUCAACACGUUUUAGGUGUCAACGAAAUUAGUCGGAUCGCCAGCCAUCGAAUUGACACAUGGAGCAUUGGAUCACAAUACAUGGCAGCAGGGAGAAUGGAAACCGUGUUCCUCCAUAGCCUCCACAAUACAUAUGUAUCCACCACCCCUCCCACAUCGUCGCAACAGACAAUUACGUCGGCCCCUUCCAACACCUCGCUUUGGUACCCUAGAGAUCCCUGAUGUCGCAUGGAUAUCCUGCAAGUAUUAUUACAGUGCGCCAAUGAGGCGUCAUCCUUGCAACAUUGUCUUACAGACAAUGUAGUUGAUGCCACCACCACCAUCACCCAUUUACACAUGGGCCGUCGCAUGUGGCACUGUUCGUGGGAUAAAACACACCCCGCGAGAAUACGCGGUUGCACCACUGCGAUCUAUGCAACUUAGGAAUUGUUGUGACUGCCCCUGCAAAACUAGCGAUGAUACGGCCAUCGCCCUGCAACAUUGGCCAUAGUUGUAGCACAUCUGAGAAGACGGAUGCCGCACCUAACAACACAGUAUGUGUUUUUUGCACCAUAAGGAAGCACUGCCUUGCAACAUCGGCUAUCAGGGUGCUGCACUGACAAACACACUCACGACCUUGAGAUGUCGUAUGCCUUGGCCGAUGUAGCAUAGUGCUCCUCUUUCAGCAUAUAGCGAUGGCUUGUAGCAUUGAUGGUCGGAGAGUCGCAGCAUCGUUGAGUGGCAGUGCUAGCCCAUCUCAUUGUCAUAGAGAAGGGGGAAUAAAGGAUGGGUGUGCACGUGGUGGAAAUAAAGCGAAUGGAUAUGGUGAAGAGAGAGGAAGACUAACAAGGGGCAUCUGGCGCUAGAGCGAGCUGACUGAUUUCCCCCUGAAACCAGCCUGUUGAAUAUAAUUCAAUUUUCUUUUGAGAGACCUCAUAAAAACGUCGCAACAUGCGAGCAUGUCUAUACAAAAAAUUGUAGAUAUACAACACACACUCAUUAGCUGCAACAAAUCAGUGAAAAACACAAUGUAUAUAGGCCUGAACCGAUGGAUCAUCAGCAUGCAUCUGCCAGCUCUUCCUAGGUUACGCCCAACCGUGAGUCGUUCAAUUGGGUCACACAUCACUACCCAAUCAACCACCAACUUAGUUGUUCCUCUCGUCUCCUCUACCCACCCUUGGCAACAUACACCCAUGAUUCUCAGCAAUAGACCAACAUGGAGGCGACAAUGGUGGCCAUGAUAGGCUAGUGAAAAGCACACUGGUUGGUCAACCUUACAACACUAAACAGAAACAUUGCAACAUGAGGUAACCCCAACUUUGUAGCACUGGUGCACCAUUUUCAACCACCUUGUAGCAAUGAAAAGUUCACUGACCAAUAGAAUUGCUGCACCAAGUUACUGGCUUCCAGCACUGAACACCCGGGCUUGUAGCACCACGAUGAUCGAUGGUCGGCCUUUCAACAGUAUUAGUUAACAUUGCACACCUCGUCUCCAUUUUUAUGUACAUACACAUGAGUGACCUUGGAACAUCAGUAACGUGUCAACAUUAUCAAACUUGAAGACGAUAAAUUUGUUUCUCCAAGCAUCGACAUUACUGAAUAAGCGUGCAACUGCACAUCCACCACAUGAGCCAUAAUUUUUUAGCCCUGCGACAACAGCUUAUAGUUGCAAAAGAGCUGACGAUGAUGGUUUAGAAUGUAUAUGAUCAAAAUAGAUUAAAUGGAGGGGAGGGUGGACUACCUAUGUUGAAUCAGACUAGCCACAAGGUCACAAGUGCCUUGUCUAAAUAGCCAAAAAGACAAAAGGAGGCCUCCUGGAUUCUCCAUCCUGAAGCUAAGCAUAACUCCAACUCCAGACACGCUAGGGGGCUACUAAAGGUGCAAUACGGUAGGGGUGUCUUCUGGGUGGGAAGCCUGGUAGCAGGCCUGCCUUAGGACCCAAGAGGCCAAGUGGAGGAUCGGUGCAGUAGGGCAGCUCAGGAGCCCAGAUAAGGACUAUGAGAGCAUCUUGGCAGGCAAGCUAAGAUGGCAGUGGUAUGAGAUCUGAUGGAUUCCUUGUAAACCUAGCCCUUGCCACCUAUAUAAGGAGGGGCUCGGGGUUGUCAUUCACAUAUACUCUCAUAGACUAUACUCUCUGUAGCAUUAUACUUCAUCUCCACUCUAAACCCCUCGCACAAGGUGCUCCACCAUGAAUAAAAAUCAGAUACAGGAAGUUGGGCAUUACCUCUCACCGAGGGCCGGAACCAAGGUAAAAACCUUUGUGUGAACUCCCUUGUCAUGGAUCCCUACAAGUUCACCACCCUACUAUGGUACUCACGGUUUUACAUACUAUCACAUAGUUAAGUUCUGACACAUUUUCUCUGGGGAGUUGAAACAACUCAUGGUGUAAGUAGGUGUUGCUUGAAGCACUGAUUCUACUAGCACCUCCUUUCCCGCCUUCGAGAUACCUUGUCCUUCCUAUCCAACCACUUUGCCAUUUGAGCUUUCUUUAAGAUGUUUAAAAUUUCCCUCCUUUGACCUACCCACCACGGUUGGGAGCCCCAAAUAAUGCUCGCUCAAUGCCUUAGGAUCUGUGCAAAGAUAUUUACAACAACUUACUCCUCCUAUUUGCCUCACUUCCCAAAGAAUGUUGAGGCUUUUUGAAAAUUUCCCAUUUGUCCCGAGGCCCACUCGUAGUCAAUGAGGAUAUAUUUAAGGUUACAAAGUUGCCAUUUGACGGUUGAAGAAAUACUAUACUAUCAUCUGCAGAAAUAAGAUGGACUACAUGGGGGUUAGUGCUCCCAAAAGAUAUACCAUUGAUCUCUUUAUCUUUGAGCACUCAUGAGAAAGGCCAAAAAACUCGCAACAUAGAAAAUAAAAAAAAAAUAGGGAGACCAUGGGUCUCCUUGCCAAAGCCCUCUUCAUAGUAUAAAAAAAUACAAAACACACUCCUUUCAAUUUGAUAGAAAACCUGGCCGGGGUACCACACAUCAUAAUCAUCAAGAUCAACCUAUCUGAGAAACCAAGUGCCCUCAUCAUCAGAUCGAGGAAAAUCCAAACCACCCUCUUAUAGGCCUUCAUCCUGUAUAGUUUAAUUGCAAACAUUGGAUUUUUCUAUUUCUUGAAUGUACUUUGCUCCUGUGUGAUCAUUAUGGAUAGGACAACCUUCAAUCUCUUUGCUAGGCCUUUGAAGCAAUCUGACUGAGCGUGUUCAAUAAGUUGAUUGAUCCCAUUUGAGGAAGUAUCUCCAUUUAGGUAAUUUUGGGGAUUAGGACUAGAACCAUAUCACUAAAGUUUGGUGAAAUAACUCCAUUAAAAGAAUCAUUUAUUACUAUGCGUACAUCAUUUUUUAGAAAUAACUAGUGAAAUUGGUAAACAUAAGUGAGAGGUUGUCUUGCCCCUGUGCUCCAGUCAAAUUUAGAAUAGUGCAUUCUCAAUUUCUUCAUCCAUCACGUCUGUUUUCACCCUCUCCUCCAUAUCACUAGUCACACAGGGUCGGAUGUGAGCUAAGAUGUUGUCAGCAUCAGCAGAGGCUUCUGAAGAAAACAACUAAGCAUAGAAAUCGGCUGAAAUCUUCCCCAUCUCAUUGUCAGUAGUACAACUCGUGCCAUCCGCCCUCAUGUUUUGAUCGUCUUUCUUGAGAAAUUCCAGUAGGGAACAUUGCAUACACAUUAUUUGUUCCUGUGCACGAACCACAUGAAGCUAGGCUUCAAUCUCACUGGUCUUCAGCGAGGAUGUCUGGAUCCCAAUGAUCUACCCUUUCCAUCGAAGCUGGACCUUGUGCCUAGUUAUCUCACAACAUACCAGACAAAAUACAAAGCCACUUCAAUAUUUCAUAUCAUUGGUGACAUUGUUAUGCUUCCUGUAGAGCUCACUCUGGCCGGAAUUGUUAUCACAUGCACACUAUCAUGCCUCCAUCCAUGGGCAUCCACCUCUCCUCAAACGUUAAUGCCCUCUUCUUACUUUUGGUAAUGACUAGGUUUUCUAGCGCUCUAUUAACGAGCAAACCAUGGUCUCGUCCUCCAUGACAACAUGUUCAAUGGUUGUAUCCUACAAUGAAUGCACGACUUCAUCAUUGCAUGGACCCCUGUCCACAUGUACAUAAAGGAUCUCAUCCCGCUCCCUCUUAUUGUCCCAAGUGUACAGGUUGCUAGUAAAACAAAGUUUUGAAACACUAUUAUUGGCUACACUCUCCCUAAUGCGCUCCAUUUGUGUGAAACUCCUCAAGUAAUCUCCUAGUUGUUGUGAUUAAAAGAAUUCUUUGUUGAGCUAUCAUUGUAACAGAUAAAUGUAUUAUUAGGAUCCAGUCUCUCGGAGCCUCCCUUAGCUACACAAAUUUUCUUCAAUCUCUCUUCCUAUCAAUUAGCUUUAGGUUAUAAUCAUUGUGAUGCCUUUGGUAGUCACCAUCACCUUGCCUCAUCCUAUGAACAAAAGUGCCUCAUCUGCGUUGCUCUGAGGUAGAUGGUCAUCUUUCCCAAUGGCCUUGCACCCUUUCCCAUAUAGAUUUUUUUAUGUCUUGCUUCCUUUCAUGCUCCUUUCUCAUGUCCCACUUCCUUUUUAGAUUUAAAUCAUCCCUUAGUUCACAAUCAUGUCACAGAUCUUGCCUGCAUUGGUCCUCCCUGCACUUCAUCUUAGACAGUGACCCUCUACAAGACCAUCUCGAGGAUCCUCGUAGAGAGAGAGUCCACAGAGGGUGUAUAAUCAUUGUAUGACCUGCACGUAAAUGGACGGACAUGCAACGCUACAUGACCCAUCGCCCAUAGACGCCCUUGCUUGACCUAGUGCUCCCAAAACUAAAGUUCAUGCUUUCUUUCACCGGCCUCUACUUUGUUUUUGUCUGUGAGGAGCCAUGUCCAAGUUAUGCCCUCAACCAUUCACCCAACUAGGGUGAGGAAUCAUUUUGUGGUUCAAAUCAUCCGUCAACAUGUGCUAGUCUGUCGUAGUCAAUCCAAAAGAGAGGUAUCUUUACAAAUUGAAAAUCAAACAAGGUCCCCUCAUCUUUUGCUGAAGAGUGGAGAAAGAAGCCUCAGACUAGUGAAAGAAAUAUGAAAAUUCUAGCUCUAGGUCUGAGAUGGUUCCCCCAUAAAUCCAUCCUUCCUAACAUCACUCUUUACCACGCCACCAAGACAAUUCCCUAGAGCAUUCCCAAAAGUAUAUGAUCAUUUAUAUAGGGGAGGAUCUAUAAUUAUCACCCAUGGCUCCGUCAUACAAAACAUUAUCUUCGAUGACCUAGUUUCUUCAUCAUAAUCCUUCAAAAGUAUCGCAUUAAAACCAAAUUGCCACAUUCAAUUAUAUAGAGCGUGCUUUUAGACUCCUUUGUUAUGGAAUCUAAAGAACAAGAUAUUAUUUCUAAUGUGACUUAUUUGGGCUUCCUAGUAUAGUCCCAUGUAUGUUGCAUAGCCCUAGCAAACACGUUGAUGUUGAUUUGCUGGAGUGACCAUGCCUUUCCAACCACUGACCACCGAGUAGGCCUCGGUAGGUCUGGAAUCCUGAUCCUCAAACAUGAGAUCUAUUAGUUACUUUUGUUGUCAAGUUCAGGGCUCCUUGUUAAUUUGGUUGAGAGUUUAGCUGCCUCCCCUGAAGCAUUUCCAUCUGUCAGGGACUUUUGAAGGUUCUCAUCUUAACGAUCCUUGGUCACCAUGUUCACUUGAGCUGUCGAUUUACGCCACGCCUUCUCUCCCAUCAUCGCGCAAAGGAGUGGAAGCACCAAGACCAAUCAAUGUAGGAGUAUACAGUGUCAUCACCUCAUAGAUGAAUAAAAACCUAACCCUAGCACUACUUGUCGGUCGCCUAUAAUCGCCCUUAGUAUUUCUUUUCAUGUUGGGCCCGCCACUAGGUAUUUAUACCUGUGCUUCCAUUGGUACUUUUUUUGCGCUGGAGCCUUUCUGCUACAUUUGCCUUUCUACAAAGGCGGUCUUAUCCAAAUCAUAUAGUCUCCUCUAUCUAUAGGAAGCGAGGACAUUAGCUCUUCUUUUUUUCAAGGCAAAUACACUUGCUAGUGUUCAAGCGACAUCUAAAGAAGUCUUGUCACAUGUGAAGACGAGGCUAAGAGUGUGACACAUAUAGGUGCCAACUUGAAGAAUAAUGCAAAUUUCAGUAAAUAUGAAUAGCUCCAGGGGAACGAGCGCACAAAGGAAUCAGCCACCAUAUAUGGAUCAUUUCCAAAGAAACAAAGUCACAAAGAGAGAGACAAGACAUUAGCUUCUUUAUGGGGAACACAUACAUUUAAAUGUUGCCUUGCUCUCUGAUUAUUAACAAGAAAUAAUUUUUACUAAUAUAUUAUGUGUAAAUCUUGAUAGAUAUGGAAUGUAUUUUGGUCAGUAUGUUUUAAGGAAUCAUAUUAGUUUUUGGUAUGUUGAAAUUAGAAGAAGUUCAUGUGCCUUCAAGGCAUGUCAAGGUGUGUUGUUCCACCUCAAAAUUGGUACAUACUAAAUGGUUAUUCUCCCUACAUAUAGCCCCAAUUCUCAUGCUCUCUCUCUCUAUCUAUCUAUCUAUCUAUCUAUCUAUCUAUCUAUCUCUCUCUCUCUCUACAUUUUAUAUUCCAGACUACUCCAUAAAGCCUAAUUGGUGAAGGUCCAUAAACACCCAGCAAUGAUGGGUUCAACUCCCAUUAGUAGUAUAUACUUAGUGGAGGAGAAACAAGCCAAGCCCGCCAAUGGUGAAUAAAUCAGAAAAGAAAAUCAGGCCAUGCCCAAUCCAAAUCCGGCACCUGCCAACAAUGUGUAGUCUCCACUACUCGAACCUACUUUUCCUCAGUGUGUUACAUCAUGUGAUGUUUGGAGAAGCCAUAGAGUUGGGGAUCCAAAUAUAGAUAACAACAAUGGGGAGUGGCUUGAAGAAUAGGAGCCAAGAAGCCGGACGGACAAGGCCUCCACCAUGCUGUACCAUUGGCCGAUACUGACCCGUAUGGUGCAAGGACCGACGCAGAACUGAACACCGUCAUCAUCUAGGUUGCAAAGGAAGUUGGACCACUGUGUUUCUUCUCUCGGACAAACUCAAUGAUUUCAUGCAGUUGGCACCCACGCCACAUUCCACAGAGAUAACAACAUUGAGGAGGAGGAGGAGGGGCAACGCAAGGUUUCUUCCUCAUAGGAAUUACUUUCGAGGAAGUGAGGGGACGGUAUGGCAUGAUGAGUAGUUAACAAGGGAAGUUUGCAUGACUGCGGCGGACAAAUCAUGAAGACAAGUGUGCUAGUAGCUAGAUAAGGGAUGAAUGAUAGCAGGAAGGAAUAAUGAGCUUACUGGGUGAGGCUACUAUUUUUUAAGUUGCGACCUACUGAUCAUAACAACAAUUGAUCGUAACAACGUACCAUUGAUGAUAUAGGGUAUUGAUUUAGUAACUGUUACGAUGUGACUAGGGCUUGUAAGCGGUGGGUUGUAUAUUACUAACAAGUAGCAUGUUUAGCCUCGAUAUUGUCCUCUGUCACUCGUAACAACGUACCAUUGACGGACCCCGUCACUACUACCUUUUUCCAACAAAAAUAGAAUUUUAGUUAUAGUAAGAUUCACAACAAUCCCGCCGGCCAUCAGUGCUAAGUUGCCUGCUGACGGGUUUUUUGACCCACCACUUUUGAUCGAUAACUAGGCGAGAACUCUAGUCUGGUGCACAUUUGUUUUGUUCAGAAUUUUUAGUGUUUUUAUGUGUACAAAGACAUAUAUUUCAACCCUAACAGGUUCUCUUUAGGUGGGGUCGAGAGUGAAGGACUGGGGAGCUUGGAAGCAGGGGAAAUGGCACCUCGAGGGGUUCAGGUCUCUAUGAUCAAUAACCACAAUUUUGAUCUGAAUGAGCUGCCGACUGAGCAUGAGUAGCUCAGGAAGGAGUAGUCACCUCUGGAGCAAGAGUAGCCUCCUAUGGCACAACAUGAGGUUUAAUAUUCACAAUGGUUGGAGGCUACUCAAAUCCCUCUUGUGUGAGCAAAGUUAACUCUUGGACCAAAGUGUAGCCCUGUUAGAAAUUAUCGAAACAAUAUCAUUAUCCCAAGGACGAUUGUAAAGCUUAUGUGGAACUUUUGAAUUUCUCGCUUCCUAUUUUUUGUUGAUUUACUGACGCUAUUGCUGAACUUGAGGGAAGGACUUGGUAUACUGCUUCAUGAUCAACGUGUCAACUGGAAAUGGCUUUUCUAUUCAUUUCCCGUGAUGGUUUUGAUAUGUGGAUUGUUUGAACAAGCAGGUGUUCA